rnacentral:rRNA from 1 species
GCUGUCGUCAGCUCGUGUGGUGACAUGUUGGGUUAAGUCCCGCAACGAGCGCAACCCUUGUCCUUAGCUGCCAGCAUUAAGUUGGGCUCUCUAAGGAGACUGCCGUGGUUAACACGGAGGAAGGUGGGGAUGACGUCAAGUCCUCAUGGCCUUUAUAUCCAGGGCGACACACGUGAUACAAUGGUCGGUACAGAGGGAAGCGAAAGGGCGACCUGGAGCUAAUCUCAAAAAGCCGAUCUCAGUUCGGAUUGGAGUCUGCAACUCGACUCCAUGAAGUUGGAAUCGCUAGUAAUCGCGGAUCAGCACGCCGCGGUGAAUACGUUCCCGGGCCUUGUACACACCGCCCGUCACACCAUGGGAGCUGACUCAACCAGAAGACGGUCAGGCUAACCGCAAGGAAGCCUCCGGCGAAGGUGGGGUUGGUGACUGGGGUGAAGUCGUAACAAGGUAGCC